GACGAACGCUGGCGGCGUGCCUAAUACAUGCAAGUCGAACGCAGUGGGGACGGGUGAGUAACCCGUGGGUAACCUCCCAUCAGAGGGGAUAACACUUGGAAAAAGGUGCUAAACCGAUACUGAUGGAUGGACCCGCGGUGGAUUAGCUAGUUGGUGAGGUAACGGCUCACCAAGGCGACGAUGCAUAGCUGACCUUAGAGGUUGAUCGGCCACACUGGGACUGAGACACGGCCCAGACUCCUACGGGAGGCAGCAGUAGGGAAUAUUGGGCAAUGGACGAAAGUCUGACCGAGCAACGCCGCGUGAGUGAAGAAGGUUUUCGGAUUGUAAAACUCUGUUGGUAGAGAAGCGUUACCUAACCAGAAAGCAACGGCUAACUACGUGCCAGCAGCCGCGGUAAUUC
rnacentral:rRNA from 1 species